rnacentral:rRNA from 1 species
UUGACGGGGACCCGCACAAGCAGCGGAGCGUGUGGUUUAAUUCGAUGCUACACGAAGAACCUUACCAGGGUUUGACAUGCAAGUGGUAGGAAACUGAAAGGGGACCGACCCUUCGGGGAGCUUGCACAGGUGCUGCAUGGCUGUCGUCAGCUCGUGUCGUGAGAUGUUCGGUUAAGUCCGCUAACGAGCGCAACCCUCACUGUGUGUUAUACGUGUCACACGGGACUGCCGGUUUUAAGCCGGAGGAAGGUGGGGAUGACGUCAAGUCAGCAUGGCCUUUAUAUCCUGGGCUACACACACGCUACAAUGGUCGGUACAAUAGGUUGCCAAGCCGCGAGGCGGAGCCAAUCCAUAAAGCCGGCCUCAGUUCAGAUUGUAGGCUGCAACUCGCCUGCAUGAAGAUGGAGUUGCUAGUAACCGCAGGUCAGCAAUACUGCGGUGAAUACGUUCCCGGGUCUU